rnacentral:lncRNA from 1 species
GGAUUUUCAAGCCCUGUUCUCAAAUUCUUCAAUUUCUCAUUUGGUUUAGAAUGGUAAGUAUAAAUUUAUUGAAUUAAAUUUUUAAGGAUUAUGGAAAACUUGCUUUAAUUCAAAAUCUAGCAAGAAUUAUGUGUUAUUGAUAUGUACUUGAUGAUUAAAAUAAGUAUAUGUCAAAGAAAUAUGUGUUUGAAAAUUAGUGUUGAAGAAAGUGGAAACUUUGGAAAUGAGUUUGUGAUAUAAAGGCAUAUUAUUUGAAAUUAUUGGAAUUAUGUGAUGCUAAAAACUUAAAUUAAGGAUUUGAGGUUGAAAUUCUCCAUUUUUUUUAGUAUUUUUCGAGUUUUUGCAAAACAGGUGCUAGUUUUGAAAUUUUGCCAGAAAGGUGCUAUUUCUAUCAAUGUUUUUGGUGACAGAUUUCAAUAUUCAGAAAUUGGUGCCACUUUUCAAUAUUCUAGAAUUAUAGUGCUAGUUUUGUCAAUCAUCUAAUUUUGGUGGAUUUUUAGUAUUGGAACCAAAUUAAGUGUUAAAUAUUUGACGUUUUGGUGUUAAAAUAAUUUAUAUAAAGAAGUAUAUGUUGUUAAUGACUCUAAAUGGGAUUAUGAGAUUGAAAAUAAAAUAUGUGAAGUUUUCAUUGGUAAAUUAUUAUUUCUAAUGGUAGGAAAAUACUCAAAGAAUGCUUGUGAAGGGAUAUGAUUUAUUAUAGCGAGAGCAUGAUAUCAUACUUGGAAUUUGAAAGUAAUGAGGCGACGAGAAUAUCGAAACUAUGAUCGACUAUAACUUUGUGAGUGGAUAUAAACUUAUUUUUCAAAAAUUAGCAUUUAUAAAAUUUAUAUUAGUUCAGAAAAAUUAUUAUUUCAUACAGAUGAUUUUACAACAUGAUUUUCAGAAUAAAGUGGAUUUAUAAUCGGUUGUUCUUUUUAAUGUUUGAUUCAAUUCAUUUAAAUUAUAUAAUUAGCAUGUUAUAUGAGUAUUAAAUGUUUCAGCAUAUUUAAAAUUAUUUUCUAAAAACCACCAGAAAGUACUCAGGUGAUUUUACCCUCAUCUGCACUAGUGUGAAUGUGUUUCCACAGUGUAUGACUUCAUAUGGUUAUCUUACCCACUCUGCGCUGGUGUGAAUGUGUUUCCACAGCGUAUGAUCAGUAUAGUGAUUUUACCCGCUCUGCACUAUCGUGAAUGUGUUUCCAUAGUGUAUGACCAGAUUAUCAGAGGUCUUUGGAACCCAUUCUCGUACACACAUAGGCUUUGGGCCGUGUACUAGGGUGAUUAGCCUUUAGGCCAGCUCAGCGUAUGUAUGACCAGAUUAUCAGCUAUCAGAUUAUCAGAUUUGAAUGGCUAUGCCUUGUACAUCGAGAUUACUCUGUACAUGAGUAAGACUAUUCAUUGGGUACUCUUUUUGGUGUGUUUUUUCAGUAUUUAUUCAGUUCUCAGAUUUCAGAUUAUAGAAUUCAAUUAAUUAUGUUUUUUGAAUAAAACUUUUAGCUUAUAGUAUUGACCAGUAGCAAUAUUUCAUAGAUUUUCAUAAAUAUCAGAUUAUUCAUUAACUUUACAUCUACUUACCUAGAAUUAAGAAUAAAGAAUUGUAUGAUACAAUCAUGUUUUGAUUUUAAAAGUGUUACCUGAUUUCAGAAUUUUUCAAAGAUUUAAUAAAGCUAGAAUUUUCAGAAAAUAUGUAGAAAUGGAAAAAGUAUAUUUAUUUGCAAAUUAUCCACUCACUGAACUAUAAGCUCAUAUGUUUUUUUCACCUUUUUCCUUAUCAGAUAGCAGUUGAAUGAAGCAGCUUUGGAGCCUGUUGUUCCGCCAUAUUGAGUCACGGUCAUAGGUUGUAUGGCCUACUUUACCAGACUAUGUUGUACAUGUUUCUUUGAGUUAAAUGUAGUUUAUGUCAGAAAAGGUUAUCAGGGUUUCACUGCAUAUUUGGCGUCUUUAGUAUUUUUGAGAAUUGUUGGUUGUAAAGAAGGGAAAUGUUGAUUUGCCGACAUUUUAUUUGAAUAGUUUGUAUUUUGAGGUACUAGCGUAUCCUAUUUAUAUUAUAGGUAUUGAUUUGAGGAAAAUUAGUUGUUGUUCAGUGGUUUUAGUUCAUAUUUCAAGGAAAACUCUGUCAAAUUUGUUAAAAAUAUUCUUCAGUCAAGCAAGUCAAGUUGCCUUGGUGGUGGGUCCAGCGUUUACUUGGUAUCUACUAUCGGCACACAACACGUGUCGAAUCCAUUAAGGUAAUUCGGGACGGGUCGUGUCAAUUGGUAUCAGAGCAUGGUUCAGCCGUUGAUAAGCUCGAGUAAUUCAUGAAUUUCUUUUUCAGAAUGACAUGUCCUUAAGAUUGUUAGUCAUUGUGUGGUGGCAAAACUCACAAGCUCCAAUGAGGUGAUUAAGGUAUUUUGAGAAACUAUUAUUUAAGGAGUCUUGAUUAUUUUAAAGAGUUAAAUGUCGAUGCUUAUUCUUAGAAUUCUCGAGGAAUUUACUACCUUAUAGAUCAUGGGAGGAUGAGAUACAUACAUAGACAAUCAAUAUUUGAAACAUCGAUCAUAUCACGUCUAUGAUUGUCUGGUUUUAAUUUUCUCUUUGGGGUGUAGAAAAGUGAAGACAAUCUAAUUAUGAAGAAAAUGAAAAAGUUGGUAUAUAUAUAUAACAAGGAAAUAUGUUCUAAAUGGAGAGAAUAAAGAAAACAUAAGACGAGGGGACGUGGUGGUCACAUUCUUGAAUAUUAUGAAAUGAUUUUUUUUUUUUUGGGUUGUUAAUUUAAUUGACUGUUUCUCCAGAUGGAUUUUAUUGGAAUCUUAUGAAUAAUGCACUACUCCUACUAUGAUAAUUUUUAUGGAACUCAUUGAUUACAUGUUAGUGCAUUUUAAAAUCAAAGAUAGUCUACAAGUGUAAGUUUUACUUAGAAUAGAAGAUUAGUUUAGAUUUUGUUAUUUUAGUAAACGAUAUCAAUGUAGACUCAAGAAAAAGAUAGUGGUUUGAGGUGAUUAAGAGUUCAUAAUGGCUAUAAGGUUACUGCCAUUGCUUUUUAUAAGGAAAAGUAUAAAAUGUCACUUACACUUAACUUGCAGCUUGAUUAGGAGGAACACCAAGUUUAUGGGGAUUGAAGCCUAUUAAAGGAGUUUUCAUAAGUUGAAAGGUUGAUGAAUUUGUGCAUUAAUAUUUGCUCUUCCAGUGGUACUUGUAUAGUUGUGAUGUACAUUGAUACAUUAUGUCAACGUUAAUAGUCCCUAUUUCUGGACAAUCAUUAAUGUGAAUUGUGAUUGGAGUAAACGAUAUUAUUUGGUUAUGUUAGGUCAGUAACAUGAAUAAGGAAGCAUUCCCAUGACCUUGUGCCUUGAGCUAUAAACAGAUGAGAACAAAUAAGGAAAUUUGAAAUUUGUAUGAUCCGUACUUGUAUAUUGUUGAAUAUGGGCAAUCAAAGUAGGAAUGGAAAUUGAAAUUUAGAAGAGGAUAAACGGUGUGUAUAGGGGUAUUGCAGGGAGUGAUAUGGAAAUGAUUGGAUUCCAGUAGGCUAAUAGCAUGUACAUAUAUGUACAAGCAUUAGAAAUCAAUGAAAAGGAAAGAAUAUAUGUAAGGAUGUCAUUUAAGAUUAUGAGAAGACGAAGAAUAGAAAAGAAGCAUGACAAAAUUUUAAGUUUAGGAUGUAGAGCGAAGAGUAGAUAAUGGAGUUAGAAUUUAUUGAGCUUGGAAAAUUAAUAUAUGGAUUAUUGAUGGUAUCUUAAUGUGUGAUAUGUCACUUGAUAGUUAUAAGGAGCACUAUUUUUGUGAUCCUAAGGAGAUAGGUAUAAUCAAAUGUACUAAGUUAUACAAUGUGACCAUAAAUUGAUGUGUGAAAGGUUAACGUGAUAAAUAUUAAGGUUAUUAUUUUAUGAUAUUAAGAAAAAUUGAUAUAAUUAGAUGUUUUAAGUCCUACAAUAUGAUGAUAUAUGAUAAUGUUACAUGAUCAUAACAUGAUGUGGUGAAUAGAGAGUAAAUGAAUGUUAUGGUUGUCCUAUUACAAAAUACUGGAUGAAAUAUUUGGGUUAUUAAGUUAAUUAAUUUUGUUAAGCCAUUUGUUGGGUUAUUAUGUUAUAUUACAUACCAUUUGAAAUAUUCGAGCUAAAUUUUGAAGUUAAGGUGAAUUUAAUAAAUUUUUAGUAAUGAAAUUUUUGGGUUAUUUUCAAUUAUAAUUUUGGAUCUCAUGAAUAAAAUAUUCUUUUCUUAUCAAGGUCUAUUCGUUAUGGAAUAUACGGAUGAUAUAUUGGAUAGUUCAGGUCUAAGGAGAUUUUCAAAUGUAAACCUUACUCAUUGUGAAAUGGUAUCUUUUAAUUACAUUAUUUUAAUGGAAGGUCUUUAUGUAAUAUACAAGAAAGCUUAUGCAUUGGCAAUAUGUCAAUGACCUCCUUAUGGAAUAAGAGUAUAGAAUUAUCUUGGAUCAAAUGUGAUUAUUGUAUCUUCAUAGAAUGAAAGAGCCCCAAAAUUGUGUGGGUUUUAGAAAUGUAAAAGUUUUGCAAUUAGAUUAAAUUUUGAGGAAAUAAUUACUCUUGUAUCUAAAGUUGAUGAGGGUUUGAUUUAUGAUAAUAUAUUAUGCUAAGGUUUAGAAUGUGUUAUGAGGUAAAAUGAUGAAUUAUGGAUUAUAAAAUAAAUUGUUGAAGAAUCAUGAUUAAAACAUGGUUUAUAGUUGAUUAUAUUGUGGCUUAAUUUAGAAAUUGUGGUGUUAUCACAUUGUGAGAGAGAACAAUACUUAUCGAUUACAGGAGUUUUAAGGUAUGUUUUUAUUCAAAAGGGUCAAACUUGAAGUUGUGUAGAUAUUAUUAUUAAGUGAUAUAGAAUUAAAGGAAAAGAAUACUACAUUGAACUAUUUCAAUUGUUGUUAGUUAUAUCGGGAAUUUUAGAAAAUCAUGAACAAUUGAAUUUUUGCAUAUAUUGUCAAUUUAGAAUGUAAGUAGUUACUCUCAAUUAUUUUUCAUUUGGCGUUCCAAAUACACAGAAUGGAGAUAAAAUGGUGUUUGGAUAAUUGUUGAUAGAUCGAUAAAAGUUACAAGAUUCUUUCCAAAUGAUAUAAUCGGUUCAUGGGAUGGAUUUAUGAAUUUUUUUAUAGAUAAGAUUGUUAGUUAUAUGGUCGAGUUUGAGUAUUUAUCUUUGACUUAAUUGUAAAGAGUUAUACGACUAAAAUACAUUGUGCAGCUUCGUUUAGUAGAAUUUCAGAUGCUAUGAAGACAAAUUUAGAAGAAAGGGGAUCGAACAUGGUUUAUUAAUUAAGGGGCUUCUGGAUAAAGAUCUAUUUUUCAUGGAAUUGACAUAUGAGAACUAGACACAAGUGACGAUAUAUAUGAUAUUGAAAUAUUCCAAGGGCGUAUUUAUUGUGAUGAAAUUAUUGAAAGAAUGUUAUUCGGUUUUAAUUUGUAACCAUUGUUAUAGAAAAAGGGAUUGACUAGAUAAUAGUUCAAAUCAAGACCUAGGACGGAGUUUUGGUAAAUAUGAAAGUAGUAUCCUGAACUUCAAAUUGAGGAAUAGCUAAAUUUUUCUAAGAUUUGGUAAAAUGAAAGUUGAGAAUAUCGUAUAUUGGUCUAUUGGAACUUAGGGUCCAAUUAUUUAAUGAUGGAGCUCACAAUGAGGUUAUUUGAUCUUUAAUAAUUUAUGGCUUAUUUCAAAUGCUGAAAAAGUAGAUAUCAGAUUUAAUUUACGCUUUAAGAUUACUAGUGAAGUUAAAGAGAGUUUAGCCAGAUAAUAUGCUAGAUAUGAAAGAAUGAAGUUAUGACUAGCUAAAGGUUGCUAGAUAUAUUCGAAUUCUAGUUGAUUGAAUUUCGAGGACGAAAUUCUUUAAAGAGGGUAAGAUUGUCACACUCCUCAUUUUUUUAGUCAAAGUCAAGGAAAAAUAUUUGGUCAAAGUCAAAGUCAUUAAGGACUUCAGUUGAACAAAUAACUUUUAUGGGACUUAAAUUGAAAUUUCGAGUAAUUGAAGGUUAGGAAUGAUAUAAUAAAGGAAUCCAAGGAUUUAGUUUCUAUUAUGUGAAAAGAAAUGACUAAAUGUAAUAGUGUCUGAAGAUGGUGGACUUGCCUUGCAAUUAUUUAAUAUUUACUCAUUAAAUAGCAUUUAUUUUAUGCAUUUUCUCAUAUAUUUUGGGGAAAGAGAGAGAAGAAUCGAGAGAGACCGAGAGGAGGAGGAGAAGAAGAAGAAGAAGAAGAAGAAGAAUUUUCAAGCUAGGGUUCUCAAAUUCUUAAAUUUCUCAUUUGGUUUAGAAUAGUAAGUAUAAAUUUAUUGAAUUAAAUUUUUAAGGGUUAUGGAAAACUUGCUUUAAUUCAAAGUCUAGCAAGAAUUAUGUGUUAUUGAUAUGUAUUUGAUGAUUAAAAUAAGUAUCUGUCAAAGAAAUAUGUGUUUGGAAAUUAGUGUUGAAGAAAGUGGAAACUUUGGAAAUGAGUUUGUGAUAUAAAGGCAUAUUAUUUGAAAUUCUUGGAAUUAUCUGAUGCUAAAAACUUAAAUUAAGGAUUUGAAGUUAAAAUUCUCCAUUUUUUUAGUAUUUUUUGAGUUUUUGCAAAACAUGUGCUAGUUUUCAAAUCCUUAAUUGGUGCCAGUUUUCAAUAUUCUGGAAUUAUAGUGCUAGUUUUGUCAAUCAUCUAAUUUUGGUGGAUUUUUAGUAUUGGAACCAAAUUAAGUGUUAAAUAUUUGACGUUUUGGUGUUAAAAUAAUUUAUAUAAAGAAGUAUAUGUUGUUAAUGACUCUAAAUGGGAUUAUGAGAUUGAAAAUAAAAUAUGUGAAGUUUUCAUUGGUAAAUUAUUAUUUCUAAUGGUAGGAAAAUACUCAAAGAAUGCUUGUGAAGGGAUAUGAUUUAUUAUAGCGAGAGCAUGAUAUCAUACUUGGAAUUUGAAAGUAAUGAGGCGACGAGAAUAUCGAAACUAUGAUCGACUAUAACUUUGUGAGUGGAUAUAAACUUAUUUUUCAAAAAUUAGCAUUUAUAAAAUUUAUAUUAGUUCAGAAAAAUUAUUAUUUCAUACAGAUGAUUUUACAACAUGAUUUUCAGAAUAAAGUGGAUUUAUAAUCGGUUGUUCUUUUUAAUGUUUGAUUCAAUUCAUUUAAAUUAUAUAAUUAGCAUGUUAUAUGAGUAUUAAAUGUUUCAGCAUAUUUAAAAUUAUUUUCUAAAAACCACCAGAAAGUACUCAGGUGAUUUUACCCUCAUCUGCACUAGUGUGAAUGUGUUUCCACAGUGUAUGACUUCAUAUGGUUAUCUUACCCACUCUGCGCUGGUGUGAAUGUGUUUCCACAGCGUAUGAUCAGUAUAGUGAUUUUACCCGCUCUGCACUAUCGUGAAUGUGUUUCCAUAGUGUAUGACCAGAUUAUCAGAGGUCUUUGGAACCCAUUCUCGUACACACAUAGGCUUUGGGCCGUGUACUAGGGUGAUUAGCCUUUAGGCCAGCUCAGCGUAUGUAUGACCAGAUUAUCAGCUAUCAGAUUAUCAGAUUUGAAUGGCUAUGCCUUGUACAUCGAGAUUACUCUGUACAUGAGUAAGACUAUUCAUUGGGUACUCUUUUUGGUGUGAUUUUUCAGUAUUUAUUCAGUUCUCAGAUUUCAGAUUAUAGAAUUCAAUUAAUUAUGUUUUCUGAAUAAAGCUUUUAGCUUAUAGUAUUGACCAGUAGCAAUAUUUCAUAGAUUUUCAUGAAUAUCAGAUUAUUCGUUAACUUUACAUCUACUUACCUAGAAUUAAGAAUAAAGAAUUGUAUGAUACAAUCAUGUUUUGAUUUUAAAAGUGUUACCUGAUUUCAGAAUUUUUCAAAGAUUUAAUAAAGCUAGAAUUUUCAGAAAAUAUGUAGAAAUGGAAAAAGUAUAUUUAUUUGCAAAUUAUCCACUCACUGAACUAUAAGCUCAUAUGUUUUUUUCACCUUUUUCCUUAUCAGAUAGCAGUUGAAUUGAGCAGCUUUGGAGCCUGUUGUUCCGCCAUAUUGAGUCACGGUCAUAGGUUGUAUGGCCUACUUUACCAGACUAUGUUGUACAUGUUUCUUUGAGUUAUAUGUAGUUUAUGUCAGAAAAGGUUAUCGUGGGUUCACUGCAUAUUUGGCGUCUUUAGUAUAUUUGAGAAUUGUUGGUUGUAAAGAAAGGAAAUGUUGAUUUGCCGACAUUUUAUUUGAAUAGUUUGUAUUUUGAGGGACUGACGUAUCCUAUUUAUUUAUAGGUAUUGAUUUGAGGAAAAUUAGUUGUUGUUCAGUGGUUUUAGUUCAUAUUUCAACGGAAACUCUGUCAAAUUUGUUAAAAAUAUUCUUCAGUCAAAAAAGUCAAGUUGCCUUGGUGGUGGGUUCAACGUUUACCUGGCAUCUAUCAUCGACGCACGACAUGUGUCGAAUCUAUUAAGGUGAUUCGGGACGGGUCGUGUCAAUUUAAUCUCGC